CCACCGUGGUUUUACAAUUUUGGCGCGCUUUUGUAGAUGCUAUAAUUUUCAAAUAAAAGUAAUUUUAACCUGGCAAUGAGCUCAUUAUGGAUGCAAUUCCGCUCGGUGUACUGUUUUUCACGUAGCGAACAAUCUGCUCCUCAAUGACAGACGAAUUGUCAGAAACGUGAACACAUUUUCUUAAUUAUAUGCAUUUAAUAAGCCCCACCAUAUAAUUAUAGUUGUGGCAAGAGAAUGCACAGUAUUUGAGUGCAAUAAAUAAAAAACUCAGUUUUUCUUGGUCUAGGAAAAAUCUACAACGAUUGACUAAUACAAUUUUCUUACCAUUUGUAGAGAUUAUCCGACGGCACUGGUAUUAAUGUGAAAUACUGUGUCAUUAAGGAAGUAUUUCUUAAUAGUUAAAAACAAAAAUUUUCGAAAUAUUGCAGAUAGAGCGGAGACUCCUGAAAGCCAUCGUGGCCUUUUGCAGAAAAAAACUAUUUAAAAUAUGCGAAAUCGAAAGGAAUAGUAGCCGUUUUAAUUAAAAGUCAGCUCUUCUCGAUGUAACUUCCGCGAUUCUGAUCAAAAUAAUACAGAAUUUACCCUGAUAUAUAUGUAUACAUAACUGAAAAUUUUAAAACCAUCUUUACAGCUUUUUUUCUGAACAACUCAUUGCGACUAUGGAAAGAUUGUGCAAAAUAAGCGGUUGAGGUAUAGAUUGCGUGAUAUAUUUUAAUUUUAUUGAAAUAAUUUUAAUGAAAAAGAAAUUUUAAAUACUGGUAAGUCAAUAUUCGAUAUAUGUAUGUAUGUGUAUAGAAUAAAUGCGAUAAAUCUUUGUAUUAUAUUUUGUGAAAAACAUAACAAAACUUAAAAAUAGAAUAGAAAAACCUUUCUAAUAUAAUAAAGAGUUUUUCCUUAGUUAUUAACAAACAGUUUUUAGUGAAUUGUGCAAGAGUACAAAUUUUCUAUCCAAUUGUUACUCUUUUAUAAGAUAUAAUAUUAUAUUUUUCCUUUGGAGAAUGGAAUCAGGGUCUACAAAUUCUGUUUUAUGAUCUGCGUUGUAAUUAAAUAACGAUAACUCAAAUAUAUUUACCAUGUCGUUUUUUGGGUACAAAAUGGAACAGCAAAAUAAACAGGUGUCUUACUCCUCGUAUUUGGUAUAUACUGACUACUCAAUCCAAUUAACAAUUAUAAACGAAAUAUCGAAAGUCCUUUCUUGGUAACAUUUAAAAGAGUGUUUUAUUUUUAGAAAUUGAGGAUAUGCAAGAUAUAAUAAUUAAUUAACCAAUUCUUCAUUUCGAAACAGUUUCUGAUUUGUAAUAUAAACAGAACUUCAAAUCGCUGAUAUGCAUGGGAAGUCUGGUUAUAGAAUUUAAUGCAAACACUCAACUCAUAGAGUGAAGACAUUUAUUCGGUCUCUUGUCUUCCAAGCUACCAUGGUUUAUUAACAUUUUGGGGCUUGUACUGUAUACUUACAAAGACGGGAAUGGUUCUUCUGGUGCAUCAUUACAUACUGCAGUACAUAUUCAUAAUCGAUUAAUUCAUAUCAAGUUCUGGAAAUACACACAUUUAUGUAGAUAUAUCGCUGAAAUAAACUAUUUUCCGGCGGCAAAAUUAAUCCCAUUUCCGUUUUUCCUUUAUGCGAUGAUUUCAUGCAAAACAAUUUUAUUUUUUUGGACUGACUCUAACAAUUUGGUUGAUCUUCUUCUAAUGAAACAUCCUAAGGGUCCUAAAUGAACUAAGUAUAUCAAUACGAGUUGAUAUUUGCGAAGAGAAUACUAUGGAGAAGCUGGAUACGUAUAUGACAAACCAGGGGAAAAAAGAAAUUACGUCACAUCUAAAAAUGUAGACAAAGUUAUUGUUCUCUUUGUUUGAGAAGAAAGCACCGCUCAGUCUAAGAGAAGCUAAACAAGAGCUGUUUAAAAAGGAUUAAAUAUAUUUCCAAAUACAAUAUGGGCCAGGAUUCAUAGACCCUGCCUCAAACGCAAAAGUACUAUUAUCAAUCGUUUUGGAUAAAAAACCAAGAAAAGGAAAUACAUUUAUUCAAAGGAGUGUUAAGCACUCCCAAAACUUAUAUGUGUACUCUCUGCUCUUUAAUUUUGGUUUUCGAGGUGCUUGAAAAAAUCCUGAAUGUCGAUAGAAUGAUAAAAUUCUAUAAAAAGUCUUUACUGAUAGGAUAAAAAUUUAAGUAAAAUUUUAGUUUGUAAUUUGUCUUGCUGUUCACACUUUAUAUCGGCCCCUUAUAGAAACAUUUUAAAGCAAUAGUGAAUGGUGCUUUAAUUCAAUAUUUUCAUUUCAUUUCUAUAUUUUAACAACAUAAAUAAAUAAAUAGUUCCAGUAAUUUUUUUGAAUAGGGCACCGUAAGGGAUUUGAGUUUAAUUCCUCAACUUCUUUCAUUUGAAUAUAAGAAAAUUAAACUUUUCCUUUCUAAAAUAAAAUUUCACACUUAUCCUUAACGCAAUGUUCGAAAUUGCUUCACAAAUAAAAACAUAUUUUUAUGGUUAAAGGGUAUGGCUGCUGUAGAUUUCGCUGAAACUAUUAUAUUUAUAGUCAUACAAAAGUUUUAAGUUGAUUUGUGUCAAGGAAACAUUUUUCUAAUGAGUUUAUACGUUUAACAAAUAAUUUUGACUUUUAUACCAUUGACUUCAAAUUUUUAGCUUAUCUUUAGAAUUGUUUUUUUUUUAUCGGAGUACGUAGGGAAGUUUCAAUUAAUUUUUUUUUUAUUGUUGAAACAUAAUUAAUGAUACGUUUCAUUGAAAUUGCAACUAGUGAUAAAUGUAAACUAACAAGCAAUGUUUUUCUCAAUUUAUGAAUUAGAACAAUAAAACUGUAAUAAUAUUUUCUUUUUUAAACUAAAUUUAAUAACUAAAUAAAAUGAUACUUAUUAUUUUCUAAGAUUCUUAAUAGAUCAUGUAACGUUGUUUUUUUUCAGUUUGCUAUUUCUCGUAUCUCCUAGUUGUCGGGCUUCAUGAUUUUAUAAUAUUUUUGCUGUUUCGCGAAUAACUUCCCGAACCGUUUUUAAAUGAAGAUCGCGAUCCGAAUUGCGUAUGUACCACUGGGCAUUAACCAUUUUUCGCAGAACUUUGUUUUGGAAUUUUUGCAACGCUUCGAUUUAUAACGGGGCAGCGCAUCCCCAUAGUUGAAUUCCAUAUGUCCAAAUAUUUUUCAAAGUUUGAUUGUAUACUAGGAUUUUAAUUGAUGUUGUUAAGGGUGAUUUCUUGCCGAUCAACCAAUUUAUUUUGUGAUAUUUUAGUUUUAGUUCUGAAACGUUUUUUUUGUAUAUACAUAUAUUGUAAUUCAACUUUGCAUCCAACGUCAUACCAAGAUAUUUCACCAAGGUAGAGUACGGCAUUACUUCAUUUCAAAUAUUUAAGGGGAUGUACGUAACACUUUUGUUAGUGAAGUUUAUAUGGAUAGACUUUAUGCUCAUCUAGGAACUUUCUUUGUUAAGGAGCAUGUGUACAAAAUUUCAUUAUGACAUUUUAAUUUUUACUCAAGUUAAAUAUGUCGAAAUAAUUUAGCAUUCACCCUUAGAGAAAUCUUGAAUCAAUUGCAAUCAUAUUUGGUACCUUAUUAUAUUAUUCAAUUACCAUGAAAAUAUUUUCUUUGAAGUAAUAUAUCUCAUAUACUGACCGACAUUUCAAUUUUCAACUGACAUCUUAAAUUGAAAAUACCAUCCAGCUAACGGAGAGCUUGCCUCAGAAAAUGUGGUUGAUGUAACUGUAGUGGCUUGUUAGAUAUUUUAGUUAAUGUACGCCCAUUUUUUAAAAUUUUUCAAACAGAAUUUGGCCUUACUGAGGAUCGUUGCUCCAAGUUGUAGUUUUUGGUUUUAAUUUUGCCUUAGUUGUAACACUUUAUAGUGAUUGAAGUUUCAACAUCAUAUUAAUAUGUGUAUAUAACAAUAUAUAUAUGACGAUUAAUUUUAUGUGAAAAAAUUAAUAAAAUAUUUAUAUUAUUCUUUGGCAUCGCAUUAAGUAUUCAAUUUUUCAGAGCAAUAGUUAUUUUGUUUCUGCAUUUAUAGUAAGCUAUGAGCCAUGCCUAGUGUAGACCAAGAUUAAGAAAUGUUUUGAACUAAUUGAAAUAAUUUUUUUUAAAUUUAACCAACUUGCAUUGUGUGUGGGAGUAUAUUUCUCAACAUUCGGUUUUGUGGGUUCGAUUGUCUUGCGUUAAAUUGAUCGAAUACAAGAUUUCAUUGUUGCUUACUAAAUACUUAAGUUGGUAAACGUUUUAUUUUAAAUUUUUAAAUCUGCUAUGAACUUUCCUGCAGUGUGCUUGUAAUGGAGUUAUUACUCACACAGUUAGUUAAUCGAGAAUUAUAAAUUUCGCAGUAUGCUGUAAGUACUAACAUACAAUUGUCCUUGGAUGGUAACAACACCAGUAAAAGUCUAAAUACCAGCGGGAUCACCACACAAAAUCACGGGUAUCCCACUGCUUCUUUGUGAAGUGGAAGUCACAUAGUCGUAUCUACGCAGAGGCUCAGUUGUUGUAGUAUGUAGUUUUUAGAUGUUCUGCUGACGGUGUUUUCAUUACGUUGCUCUUCUUCAUGGUGCUGUUUAGUUGGCGUAACUGCUGCCGGUGUUACGGUGCUAAAACAUGAUAUUUUUAGAGACUUUCAGUGGCGUUUGUUUAUCCGAGGGGGGCCAACACUCUAUGCGCCCCUUAACUUAUUGCACCCACUACUGAUUGCGUAUUUCCUCGUGGAGUCUAAGAAGUUCAUUGCUGUGAAAAACAUGUUGUGUUUAUUUGUAAAACUCAGUUCUUGUUUGUAUACUAUCGGGAACCACAUACUUUUGAACUGUUGUUUGUUUGUUUAUACUUUCGCAACGUGUUGCUUAGAUUAUAAUAGUUUUGUAUGCUUAAAUAUUAUGUGAAAACCAUAAACUCAUUUGAUAGGUUCGAAAAAUAGACAUAGGCGAAGUUACGAUUCGAUUUAAUACAUAGUUAUUCUAUGUUGAACCUAUUACAACCACUUAGAUCUUUUACGAUGUACAUAUAUGUAUGUAAUUUAACAGUUAAUUAUUUCAGAUUCAUAAGAACUGGAAUUGAAUCGUCUUUAAAGUUGUGCUUUUCAGUGACCAUCACAUUGCAACUCACAAUUAGUUAAAGUCAUGCCUUAAUUCUAUCUAUUUUGUGACAUUGCGAGAGAAAUUUUUGAAAUAUUUCUCAAAUGGAUCAUCAAAAAUCACCUUUGCUGCUGACGAUUUUCAACUGAUGAAACCAGAUGAAACUUUUCAACAUGUAAAUUUGAUACUCAAAGCAUGAAUUAGUCACAGCCUCUUGUAGAAUACUGCACAUGCGCAUAUUUACUGACGUACAAUUAACUAACGAUAGUUUCCUUCUCUCACUUUCAAUUCGGUAAAAUUAUUUUGUAAACAUGUAAGUAUAUUAGCUUUAAUGUUGAUGCAUUAAAAGAAAUUUAAAACAUAACAUAUACAUUUUAUUACUAUUUAUUACUUUGAAAAUUUUAUUUACUAAUAUAGGCGAAAACGUUUUUGUCGUAUAAGAAUCCAAGGCAUUGUAAAUACUUGCGCUUUAAUUUUGAAUAUGCUCUUACAAAUAAAUUUCACUAAAAAAAAUAACGAAUUUAAAGCGUUUCUGUCCAGUUAAGAGAGUUGUCCGCUUAAUAGAUUGUAUUUAAUGAACAUCAACAAUGUGCAUGGUUAAUAGGACGUCCAUUUAAGUGAGCUUUCACUGUAUUCUUUAUUUAAGAGCUUUUUAACUAUCGCAUUUUCUAAGUUGGUUCGAACAGGACACAGUGUGCUAAAUUUUGGUAAAAUAGGUUCAGUAGUUUAAGAGUCCAUCGCGGACAAACAACGUGACACGUACUUUUUAUAUAUAAAGAUUAUUAAAAAUAAAUCAUAAAAAAAUCUAAAUCUAAUCUUGUUUUUGUAUUAAUUAAUCCGCAUACCAAGUUUCAUAGAGAUAUCUCAAUUUGCUUUUAAGUUACAGCUUUCACGGGUGGAUAGACGGACGGACAGACAGUCACGCGGAUUCAGUGGCGGAUCCAGAGACGAUUCUUGGGGGGGGGGGAGCUAAAUUGAAUUUAUCCUUCGAUUUUGGUUUCAAACUUAUUAUUGCGAGAGAAAUACAGUACAAAUUAUGAAACAAAAAUUAUCAAUUUCAAUUUUUAGGUAAACAAAGCGGUUAUAAUCGAAAAGUCAACCAUAUGCAUGCUUUACAUAGUGGCUGAUUUUAUUAAAAAUUCAAUCCUUUUACAUUGCGUGUUUCAUAACGCAAAACGAUGACUGCCAAGUUUUGCGAAUCUUUCGAUGACUUCUUCGGCGGUGAUUUCGAUGUCAUGAUGCGUAUGAAGCAACGCUUCCAACUAGUCUUUCUUGAAGCAUGGUCGUCCUAAGCCAUGUUUCGAUGCGACGAAGAUAAGAGAACGAACGUUCAGAGCUCGCGUUUGUUACGGGAAGUGUACAGAAUACUUGGAGAUAGGUGUGGAUUGUUGGGAAUAUGUCGACAUCACAUUUUUUUAAUGUUUCCAGUGCAGAGUUUUUGUACGCUUUUUUCAUCAUCCGAUUAUCAGAUUCCGUCAGAAUCGGGAAGGACCUCUCCGAGCCGUUCGAUACCAAACGAUUUUCAGACAAGGCGACUUUCGUGCGACUUUUUCAACCUGCUUCUGGAGAAAAUAGUUAGAGCUGCAGAACUAAAUAGAGAAGGCACCAUGUUCUAUAAAAGUGUACAACUGCUGGCGUAUGCCGAUGAUAUUGAUAUCAAACUCUAUAAGUCGCUCAUAAUUCCCGUCCUGCUAUAUGAUGCAGAGGCUUGGACGAUGUCAACAACGUAUGAGUCGACGUUGCGAGUUUUCGAGAGAAAAGUUCUACGAGAGAUUUAUGGUCCUUUGCUCGUUGGCCACGGCGAAAAUUCGAUGGAACGAUGAGCUGUAUGAGAUAUACGACGACAUUGACAUAGUUCGGCGAAUUAAAAGACAGCGGCUACGCUGGCAAGCUCAUGUUGUCCGGAUGGACGAAAACACUCCAGCUCUGAAAGUAUUCGACGCAGUACCCGCCGGGGGAAGCAGAGGAAGAGGAAGAUCUCCACUCCGUUGGAAGGACCAAGGGGAGAAGGACCUGGCUUCGCUUGGAAUAUCCAAUUGGCGCCACGUAGCGAAAAGAGAAACGACUGACGCGCUGUUGUUAACUCGACUAUAAUCGCGUAAGCGGUGGUAACCAUCCAAAACUUCUUGUGAAAAACGAGCUUUCAAAUCUUCUUUGCUGAUACCCAGCAGAGGUAUGUAGACAAAGACCCUGUAGUAAUCUUCGCAAGUUUUCUAGUCGUAAUUUUCGCGUUUCGUUUGUCGACUACAUGUUAUCGGUUUCGCUUCGUCAACAUCGAGUUUUUCCGCCAUUUUCUUAGCUCCUGAAUAAAUCAGUCGGAAUAUUUCAUCAACUUUUUCCCUCUUUUUUUCCAACGUGGCAAGCAACGUCCCAAUCAUUUUUGAUGCCUUCGCCAAAUCAAUUGCUUCCUUUUGAAGAACUACGCUGAGCGAAUGGGUGAGCGAUAGAAUGUCGCUGAGACAGAAGAGCCCGACGAUAAAUUCGAACUUGCACAAAGCCGAUAUGAGGCUUGUUGCUUUGCCAGCUGUUUCUCUGUUCUUCCACUUACUAAUUUUUGACAGAUCAACGGUAACUUCCCAACAAAUUGAAGGACAGCAUCGUGCCUCUCUACCCAUCUUGUUUCACACAACUGGACAAUUUUUUCACCAAGUAUCUUUGCUAAUACAGUCAUACGUUUUGGAAAUAAGUUCUUGAAGAAUUUGUCGACUUCUCAUACGGCACUGGCAACGUUUUCGAUUAAUCGUACUUUCACUGACUUUGAAAUACUGUUGUUGAGUUUGUGCGAGAAACAACAGACACUAGGUGACACCACGAACUACGAAAAACAUAUAGACACGAUGCCGCUUGCGACUAUCGAACGCCCCAUUAAUUCGAUAUCUCUGCGGGCAUAUAUGUCUUAUACUGUACUCAAGACUUUGACUCUUUCUCAAUUCAGAAUUUAGUACUUCUGCUGUGAGUCGCCCGGAAAAGGGUUAAAUAAUUUUAGAGAGGUCAUAUAAUGCAAUUUAUGAUAGUAUCUUGUUGUGAUUUCCAUAGUGUAUUUGGUGAGAAGAGUGUCACUGUUGUAUUUUCAUUUUUUUAUUGCAGAGAAUAUUUUUUUAGCAACAAGCGAAAUUUUUAGGUUCUCCUGUUCCAAGGGAGGUAAAAUUUCCCUAAUUUUGCAAGUUUCUGAAACUCAUCUAUUGUUAAAAAAGAAACUAUGAAAAGGUAAUGGAAAAUUAACCUUAACUUUAUGUAUUUGGUAACCAAAACUGACUGUUGUUGGAAAUUUAAUUUUUAGAGCCAAACACUUUUACUGCAGAAACAAUCAGAAUUGCCAUUCCAGUUUUUCUUACAAAACUACGAGUACUUAAUUACAACACUAAAACUAGCAGUAUAUUUUAUCCUUUCAGCAGGGCUUAAUUUAUGAGAACGAACAUCAUGGCACAAACGUGCGGAGAUGAGUAAUGGAGCGACACUGUGUUUAAAAUUUGAUAAUCAGAAGGCUUCACUUAAGAGGGCACGUCAUGACCAGACACCAAACUAAAGAUGUAAAUAUUUAGGUUGUGUUAUUGCAGUUUUUUUUUCAUCUAAAAAUGCUUGUAAAGACAGAAGAUUUUUGGUACUCAAAACUUGCUGUUCUUUUAUUUUUGAAGAUCAUAUUUAUAUAAUUUUGUUAGGUAGCCAUCUUCAAGUUAGGCUUCAGCCUUUUAAUAUUUUUUCAACAUAUUGCAAUAGAUUUUAAUAGUUUUUUUCAUCAUACAAAACUAUUCGAUAUAUACUAUAUAUAGGGUAUGUAAAAGAUCAGGAUUUUUAAUGGUACUUUGUAGAACUGUAAUUUGGUGCAGAGGAUCGCAUCAGCAAGUGUCCUUAAAGUUUAAUGUAUACUCGUAGCAUAUUCCAGAGCACUUCUACCCACACUGUAAAAAGGAUGAUAACCCCGCCCACUCCCCAUAUAAUGAUAUUGUCACAAACUACGAAAUAUCGCGAAAAAUCAAUAACUAAUUACACCGGAGACAUUAGAUUUUACCCCGAGAUGGAUAGAAUGCUUUCCUUUGAAGGCUUUACUGAAUAUAAAAUAAUAACAAACUGAAGUAAAUAAUACUUAUGUUUAGUGACUUAUUCCCAACAAGAACAAUUUGCACAGUAAAUGGGUGCUAACUCACUCCCAACAAAUGAAAAAAGUACCACUUUUUUGCAAAUUAAAAAGUUAAACGAAAAUACACUAUUGACUGAGAAUUUACCUUCUCUAGUAAGUAAGUCUUAAGUUCUGCAGCUUUAUCAAACUUGCAUUUUCAAAUUAUACCACAAAACUAAUAGCCCGAUGUAUUAGUAACAAAGAAAAUGAAAAUUUAUAUUUUUAAAUUUUCAGACUACAAUUUUAUAAUUGUUGGGAUAAAUACAAAUAAUUUCCGGCUUAUAGACGUAAGCCUUGUUUGUAUGUGCUAUCACACAUAUGUAGGAAAAAACUUUGUAUAUGAACAAGUAGAAUGUCGUGAUCCAGCAAUCUGAUUUAUGGUAUAAAUACUAUACAUACUUCACAGCGCAUAAGAUUCACGGUUAAAAAAGGAAUUGAUUAUUUCGCCAGGUUUUUUAAGCCUCAAACUAGAAUAAAAGGAGAUUUAAAAAUGCAUACAACUGCAAUGCCAUUUCCAUCUAACAUAUGCAUGCAAAUGAAAAAAAAAAUAGUUCUAAGAGGUCGUCCGAAUGGAUUUUUUACACAAAAUUGCUAGUAAUAAAUCAUAAAAAAGGAUCUUUUGUUCACCACCAACAAUUCCGACGACGAAGUAAAAUACAGAGAAAGCAAAUUAUAUAGAGGACUUUGAAGUGACAUGCAAAACUCAAAACUCAGCUGGAUUCAGCAGUGAAGCAGCAUAUUGCGACACAUGGCUAUAUAAACGGCAGUACAUAUGCAUGUGGAGGCAUGCAAGAACAGGCAAAUUCGGCAUGUGACCUAAUAAAAAAGAAUAAACAAUCGGAAUACCUAAAAUAAUAUUAGUCUCAUGCCGACUUUUUUGUAAAAAUAUAGAAGCACAUAUGAAUAUAACUAUACUGCAUAUUUUCAGAAUGGUUGUCAAAAAAAGUUUUGGAAGUAUUUUUCAUAUGCAUGAAGCGUCAUAAUUUAUGAUUAUUUAGAAGAAAAAGCGGCGGGCGCCAGUGGCGAGAAUAAAGACCGCCUCAGCGGCGUCGACGGUCAGGCAAACUUUCGCCUGCAGCAUAGAGGAGCGACGGGCAAGUAGCUAAACAACGCACGCAUAGUCGAUUAAAUUUCCUGGUAGCAAUUUGUACAUUACAAAAAAUAUAAUACAUUUAAUAAUACAGAUAA